ACUCAAAGGAAUAGACGGGGCUCCGCACAAGCAGAGGAUCAUGUGGUUUAAUUCGAUGGUACGCGAAGAACCUUAUCCAAGGCUUGACAUCCCGAUCGUAGGCUUAGGAAACUAAGCCGUCAGUUCGGCUGGAUCGGUGACAGGUGCUGCAUGGCCGUCGUCAGCUCGUGUCGUGAGAUGUUGGGUUAAGUCCCGCAACGAGCGCAACCCUUGUCGUGUGUUGUAUUUUUCACACGAGACCGCCCGGGCCAACCGGGAGGAAGGUGGGGAUGACGUCAGGUCCGCAUGGCCCUUAUGCCUUGGGCUACACACGUGAUACAAUGGCCGGUACAAUGGGUCGCCAACCCGCGAGGGGGAGCUAAUCCCAUCAAAACCGGUCUCAGUUCGGAUUGCAGGCUGCAACUCGCCUGUAUGAAGUUGGAUUUGCUAGUAACCGUGGGUCAGCACACCACGGUGAAUACGUUCCCGGAGCUUGUACACACCGCCCGU
rnacentral:rRNA from 1 species